CGAGGCACAACCUCAAAUUCCCUAAUGUUGUUUAGUUCCACAUUAAUCCUCCAACUUUCACAAUAGUUCUUCAAGCUAGACUUCAAUCCAUAAUGUUUCCUUUUCUGCUUCAAAAUGUUCCAAUCUGCUGCAACUAGUCCAAUGCAGAGGCUUGUCAAAGCCAAUGUGAGCACAAGAUUUCUUCCCAUUUGCAGAGGAAAGAGAGAGAGAGAUCAAUUUCUUAUUUUUGGUAGAAUGGGA
rnacentral:misc_RNA from 1 species